rnacentral:rRNA from 1 species
GGAUAACCACUGGAAACGGUGGCUAAUACCGCAUAACGUCGCAAGACCAAAGAGGGGGACCUUCGGGCCUCUCACUAUCGGAUGAACCCAGAUGGGAUUAGCUAGUAGGCGGGGUAAUGGCCCACCUAGGCGACGAUCCCUAGCUGGUCUGAGAGGAUGACCAGCCACACUGGAACUGAGACACGGUCCAGACUCCUACGGGAGGCAGCAGUGGGGAAUAUUGCACAAUGGGCGCAAGCCUGAUGCAGCCAUGCCGCGUGUAUGAAGAAGGCCUUCGGGUUGUAAAGUACUUUCAGCGGGGAGGAAGGCGAUGUGGUUAAUAACCGCGUCGAUUGACGUUACCCGCAGAAGAAGCACCGGCUAACUCCGUGCCAGCAGCCGCGGUAAUACGGAGGGUGCAAGCGUUAAUCGGAAUUACUGGGCGUAAAGCGCACGCAGGCGGUCUGUUAAGUCAGAUGUGAAAUCCCCGGGCUUAACCUGGGAACUGCAUUUGAAACUGGCAGGCUUGAGUCUUGUAGAGGGGGGUAGAAUUCCAGGUGUAGCGGUGAAAUGCGUAGAGAUCUGGAGGAAUACCGGUGGCGAAGGCGGCCCCCUGGACAAAGACUGACGCUCAG